UGAGUUGUGGCUCAGUGGUAGAGCACUUGUCUGACACAUGUGAGGCGCUGGGUUUGAUCCUCAGCACCACAU
rfam:Ictidomys tridecemlineatus contig056956, whole genome shotgun sequence.